GACCUCAGAUCAGGCAAGGCUACCGCUGUAUUUAAGCNAUAUUAAUAAGCGGAGGAAAA
rnacentral:rRNA from 1 species